rnacentral:lncRNA from 1 species
AUAUUCCUUAAAAAGGAAAAAGGCAUUUUUAGGGGCUUGGCUAAAACAUUAUCAGAGUUUGCAACGGAAGGUGUAACUGAAAUAAUCAGUGUUUACAGCGGAAUGCAUAACUGAGAUACAUGUAUGAAGACAUGUAUCCUUUCUGAGCCUACUUUAAGUUCGACAAAAACUCCACUCAGCAACACUUCAUCGCCCAUCACAGCUCAACCUGCACAAACAUAAACAUACGUAGGCUAAGUACAAGAGUACUUAGUGGGCAGUUGCCAAGCAUAUAACAUAACAUCAUUAAUAACAUAACACAACAUCGCAUAAGAGGCAUAAGUUUCUUUCAUAUCCUUUGCUCAUUAAACAUUUCCAAAUUCAUAAAUAGCAUAAGGGCAUUCUUUAACAAUCAUAAACAAACAUCGUGUCGUGGAGAAGGCCUUCCCCAACGAACACGGGCAUCGCGCCGUGAGGGGGAGCCUCCCUCAGCGGUCACGGCAUCGUACUAUUGAGGGAGGCCUCCCCCAAUAGACGCUGUAACACUGGCAUACUGGCAUCGCGCCGCUAGAGAGGCCUCUCUCAGCGGACACGGGCAUCGCGCCGUGAGGAAGGCCCUCCUCAGCGGACACGGCAUCGUACUGUUGAGGGAGGCCUCCCCCAACAGACGCAAGCAUCAAACAUAAGCAUAAACUUAUCAGCGUAAAGCAUUCAAGCGUAAAUAAGCGUAAUCAAGCGUAAAUCAUUUAGCGUAAAGCAUAAUAAAGCAUACCACACUUGAAGAUCCAAUUUGCAUUUUAAAGCAUAACACAUGCAUAGCAUUUUAUUUACGCGUAAGAAAUUGCCCACCUGAUAGCAAAGUUUUGCUAAGGUACUGUGACUCCUUGAAUAGUUCUUACUCUCGUGCUUGACCUUAAUCACGAGAAUAUAAAAUAAGACAUUGCCUCGAGGAAAAUUCUUAAUUAAUGGGAAAGCGUAAUUGUAACUAUGCAUGAAUCUUGUAUGCAUGAACUAAUCUUCUGAGCGAUAGUCGGAAAUUCUACUAUUAAUCCUCGUUAAUAGAUUUAGCUAAUUCUCGUCUAGCGUGUUCGAAUAAAGUUGUGAUCCUUCUUUUCCCAUCGGAAAAUUCUCAUUGUAAAAUAAAUCCCGCCUUGUAUUUGAUCAAAAUAAAAGAACUAACUCGGCUUCAAUCGAGGUGUGACCUUGUAGAAAUUAUCGGGCUUUUCGAUAGAAAUAUCAUUACUAAUGUAGCCUCAAAUAAUUAAUAGGCUCAAAAGAGAGUAGCCAAUUAAUUAAAUAAAACAGUGGCUAAUGAAAUAAACAGUAAUGGCUUGCUUUAAAUUCUGAAGUCCAAAAACAAUAUUUAAUAAACUAGGCGGCUCAUUUGUUGAAUAAGAAUCGGCUCACCCACUAAUAAAUAAUUGGGCUCAAAUAAAUAAAUCAUGUAAGGCCCAACUAAAUAAAAUUUCAGUCCAUAAUUUAAAAUUAGCCCAAGAAUAGAAUGAAUUAUUCUGAGCUUAAAAUUAAAUAAAACUCGGCCCAGCUGAUAUGGUACAGCAGCCCAAAGAAUUAAAAGACAAAGCCCAAUUCCUGAAAUGAACUCGGCCCAACAAUAUAUGUAUAGGAUUUGGAAAUAGAAGUCCAUCAACAACUAUAUCUCAGCCCAAUAGUUAAAUAAAUCGGCCCAAAACUUUAAAAUAAUUCGAGCCCAAUCAGUAAUUAAAGGAAAAAGGCCCAAAUAAAUAAAAAGACUGGCCCAGUUCGAAUUUAACAUAGGGAAGCCCAAAUCUUGGCUUGCAAUACUUAAAAUUGUGAGGCCCAAAAUAAUUAAAAUUGGAAGCCCAAUUUAAAAAAAACAAGCCCAAAAUUCGGCCCACAUAAAAGUAGAGGAAAGCCCAAACAAUUAAAAUUUUAAAGCCCAACUCUCUCUCUUUCUCUCACAAACUAUCGGACUCUCUCUCUCUCAAAACAAUUCACGCCUUUCUCUCUCUUUUCUCUCUCUCAAGGAGCUGCUCGCCCCUUUUCGAACUCUGCGUUCGAUCGGCCCUCCCAAAAAUCGGCCGGCUUCUUCUUCCUCAGCCGUUCAGCCAUCACUGCUCCAGUCAGCUUCGACCGGCGACGAGUCUUACCCCGGCGUCGGCCUUCUUCCCUGUACUUCUGCUGAAUACGCCCAAGGGGAAAAAUAGGCGAGCCCAAGUCUUUAAUUACCAGGUCGCCGCUGCAUCUUCAUCGGAAUCCGGCGAGCGGUCGCCUCCUGGAAGCAGCGCCGUUCGUCUCCCAUCCUCAUAAAUCCCUCUCUGACGUCGAGCCCUAGAUUUCAGAGAAGGGAAAAUCGCCACGGUGAAGCGACCGCCGCUCCGGCCCUGGUACCGGUCGGACUUCGUCCCCUCCGGUUCGGUAACGCCGUAGCUGUCAUUCCUGGGUCUCAAAGAGGUCGUGUGUGUUCGUCCCUGUCACAGUUAUCGCCGUCUAAGUCUCCACCGAACGAGGCAAUCGGCCCUCCUCCUUUAAAGCUAAGUUCCACUUUCCUCUUCUUCUCUAGUUUCUAGUUGUUAAGGGGAAGAUUCUCAAGCUUCCUGUUCUGAAACUUCAGCCCGCCUCUGCCUUCCUCCAUCUCCGGCGAGUCAGACGCCGUCGGCCACCGGUCUCACCUGCUGCCGUUGCUCUGAUGCAGACGAGAUAAUCGAGAGUUCGCCGUUUUUGUUAUCGGUGUUCGUCACGGCAGCAGGGGUUCGCCGUUUCCUUGGUUCGUCCGAACCGGCAGCCGGCACUACAUCUUAAAGCUAAGUCUUUGUUCUAUCUUCCUCUUCUUCUUUGUAUAAAUCUUUAUAUAAACAAUGGUUUGUGGUUUGAAGUUAAAGGGGUCUGUUCUGUGUUCCUAUUUUGAUAAAGUUAGAGAUUAACUAGGAACUGUGGUUUGCUAAUGUUAUAAGAAUUCUCAUCGUCUGACUCAUGUGAAGAAAUGUAAUUACAUAUGAACUGAUUUCUGUGCUUGUGACUUUGCUAAGUCCAUAACCUAUACUCAUUUAUACAUUCAAUAUUUCUACUUAAUCAUGCUUGGUGGAUGAAUUGCAAAUGGAAUUCGAAUGAAGGGAGCUUAGUAUAUACCUGUAAUUGCUUGUUGUUGGUGGCUGUUUGUUGCUAUUGAAUUUAAUGAGGAGAUAGCUGAAAUUUUCAGAUGCUUAUUGACAUAUGCAGAGGAAUCAAGAAUGGACUGGUGGAAAAACUUAAACCAAACCUUACCUGUUCGAAGUUUGGCAGCAGUAAUUGAAUUCUCCUCCCUUUGGUGGUUGAAGGAACUAGUAGUCUUAAAGAAUUGAAGAUGGUGGGGAGCAAAGAGUGGUGGGAAGUUUGGUGGAGUGGAUGGUGCUGUCGUAGGGUGGCUUAAAAAAAAACUCUCUAGGUGGUAAAAUUGCUGUAAAGCUAUUCUGCACACACCUAGUACACGUUUGGUUUGCCUUCUUGAUGAAGUAGGUAUGAAAUAGGGAUGUAGGGAAUAAUAAGUUGUAAAGUUGUGAUGUAAUUAUUAUAAAAUCCUCAUUCUGUAUUUGUAAUACUAAUUUCGGGUUCCCAUAUAACGAAGCUUCGUUAUAACUCUCU